UUAUUUUUCGCACAUAAGCCGUGAACCUCGAUCCCCUUUCCACCACGGCGGCGCGCUCAAGUAGGCAAAUAAAAAGGACGGCGGUGAGGGCCUCCUCCAUGACCAUGUUCUUCACCAGGCACACCGGUUGCGCAGCCGGCACGCCCUACGCCCUGCCGCGGUGCUCGAGGCAUGCCGCGUUGAAGCCGUCCGUGCUCAGCGCCAGCGCGUCCAGGAGCAUGUCCGCCGGCUGCCACAGCUCGUCCGCCGGCUUGUGCAGCAGCAGCACGUGCGCCUUUGCCCACGGCUCCAGUUGCUGCAGUACCUCCAGCCUCUACGAGGUAAGGGCGAUUUGUGUGGUAGUGUGGGCACAGAGAUGCGCCUGCUCGAGGUGUAUGCAAUGAAGGUGUGACACAGGGUCAUGGUUUUUGGUGUGACAGUAUGAGGAUGAGAGAACUUGUGGUUAUGCCAAAUGGAUCGACAAACCAUGGCAGGGAAGGGAGAGAAGUGUGAUUGCUAAUCUUGCUAGCAAGAAAGAGGUUCUGGAGAAGAAGCUGAAGGAGAAAGAUGGUGACAUAGAAGCUGUGAAGGAGAAGCAGAGAAUGGAGAAGAGAAUGAUUGCAAUGGAGAUCAGUUGCUAUCCAGAGAUAGGAUGAUAAUGUUUUGCUAUAUUAAUGUAUUUUGGUUUAGUCGCAAUCAUGUUUGCAAUGGCUGGCAGGUCCUGAUGCAUUUUGUUUUAAUGUAUUUUGGUUUAGUUGAGACAAAAUUAGUAUUUUGAUGAACUUAAUGAGAUUUACUACUGAAAUGCUUGGUCUGUGUAUUGAAAGAAAAUGGCAAUUCGAGAUGUUUUGUUU